rnacentral:misc_RNA from 1 species
GAAAUGCGAUAAGUAAUGUGAAUUGCAGAAUUCAGUGAAUCAUCGAAUCUUUGAACGCACAUUGCGCCCGCCAGUAUUCUGGCGGGCAUGCCUGUCCGAGCGUCAUUUCAACCCUCGAACCCCUCCGGGGGGUCGGCGUUGGGGAUCGGCCCCUCACCGGGCCGCCCCCGAAAUCCAGUGGCGGUCUCGCCGCAGCCUCUCCUGCGCAGUAGUUUGCACACUCGCACCGGGAGCGCGGCGCGGCCACAGCCGUAAAACACCCCAAACUCUGAAAUGUUGACCUCGGAUCAGGUAGGAAUACCCGCUGAACUUAA